UCCCUGGUGGUCUAGUGGUUAAGAUUCUGUGCUUUCACUGCAGGGGGUAUGGGUUCAAUCCCUGAUUGGGGAA
rnacentral:tRNA from 1 species